AUUUAAAUAGUUUAUAAAAAAUAUCGAUGUGUGGUGUCGGAGAAGUAGAUUUAUACGUUAAGUA
rnacentral:tRNA from 1 species